CCUGCAGGGACACCGGCCCUCCAGGACCAGGAUUGGUGACCCCUGCUCUACAGUAUCAUAGCAUCGGAUUUGCAUAACAAUAAACCGAUCAUCCAAUCAGAGUGAAGGCGGUUGAUUAAACUCUCCCACCAUACACCACACUAAAGUUUAGCUCAAGGAGUAAACUGAGGUAAGCAAUGUGUUUUCCUAUACCUUUUUUUUUCUACACACUUCACAGCAACAUCAGGUAAGCAUGUAGCACGGGAUGCAGAAAAUGAGAUAAGCAAAGUGUUUACAUUUAAUUUCUUUUCUAACCAUUGUGUGUUUUUCCCUAUUAGCUUAUGCAUGAUGAUGUAUAGCAGUACAAUGAUUGCAGAUGAAGAUUGAACGACAUCAGAUCCCAAAAUACAUCAUACCAGCCUACCUGUUACCAGUUUUGGCUACUUCUAUUUGACACCUCUUCAGUAUCAGCAUCAAAUUUGCAUCACAUUGAACAGAUUAUCCAAUCAGAGUGGAAGCAGUUGAUGCGACUUUGCCAUCAUGCUCCACUGUAAAGUUUAGCUCAAGCAGUAAACUGAGUGUGGAACUGCAUUUCUGGCCAUUAGGUCAUAUAUAAUGAUGCAAUGGCGAUGAAAUUAUCAUGGGGGAACCUUCAUCUACAUUAGAUCACCAAAUGCUUCAUAUCUACCAAGUCUGUUUUAAAUCAAUAUGAUCUUCAUGUGCGUUUCCGAUCGCCUUUUUCACGGGACUUUUUAUUUUCAACUGUCUGUGAAAACUGUUUUCAAGCUUAAGGACACUGAAACUAUUUUUGCAAUAUUAUUUAUAACUUCAUAUCUUUGGUAAUUGCCGCUCCCUGAUUAGCCAAUCAGAGCUUAUAUAUUUUAAUCAGUAAAUCUUUGUUCACUUUGGGCC